rnacentral:sRNA from 1 species
CACACACACUAACCUAACCAUCUUGGGGUGGACUCCCUGCCAGCCCAACUGUUGUAUUUUCAGUUCUUCCAGUGUGAAUCAGUUAAUAUUCUCGGGAACGAGGGAGAGGUUGAUCCUAUGAGGAAAUCAACCACAGUGAAAAGGCUUGGGCCGCUUUUGUUUUCACCUCCUUUUGUUGAACAAAUUUGAUUUCCGGAGUCAGUCAUUUUACUGUCAAGACAUUUCUUCGGCAUUCUGCAACAGCAUGGGGAUGCUUUGGAGAACGGAAGGAUUUUAUUGAGUCCAAAGGACACUCACCUCUGGGCCUCUCAGCCUCCUUGGCCACAUGGUUGUUCUGCUACUGAGAGUCUGCAGAUGAGCUGGUGGUUUCUCCAAGCUUCCGAGAGCUCUCUCAGUUUCCAACGUGGCUAGAUCCAUCAGAAACUGAAGCCGUGGAGAACGCUCUCGGGGCCUUUGCCACUUCUUGGAGUAGAAGCCGACAGAGAGCUGUUUGGAAACUUCUCCUUCACACACCAGUUGAAGACUAGGCUUUGGAGGUUUUCAAAGCAG